rnacentral:rRNA from 1 species
AGAGUUUGAUCCUGGCUCAGAUUGAACGCUGGCGGCAUGCCUUACACAUGCAAGUCGAACGGUAACAGGGAGCUUGCUCCGCUGACGAGUGGCGAACGGGUGAGUAAUAUAUCGGAACGUACCAUUGAGUGGGGGAUAACGUAGCGAAAGUUGCGCUAAUACCGCAUAUUCUCUCCGGAGGAAAGCAGGGGACCGCAAGGCCUUGCGCUCAUUGAGCGGCCGAUAUCAGAUUAGCUAGUUGGUGGGGUAAAAGCUCACCAAGGCGACGAUCUGUAGCGGGCCUGAGAGGAUGAUCCGCCACACUGGAACUGAGACACGGUCCAGACUCCUACGGGAGGCAGCAGUGGGGAAUUUUGGACAAUGGGGGCAACCCUGAUCCAGCCAUGCCGCGUGAGUGAAGAAGGCCUUCGGGUUGUAAAGCUCUUUCAGCCGGGAAGAAAACGCAUUGGUUAAUACCUGGUGUGGAUGACGGUACCGGAAUAAGAAGCACCGGCUAACUACGUGCCAGCAGCCGCGGUAAUACGUAGGGUGCGAGCGUUAAUCGGAAUUACUGGGCGUAAAGCGUGCGCAGGCGGUUUUGUAAGAUAGGCGUGAAAUCCCCGGGCUUAACCUGGGAACUGCGUUUAUGACUGCAAAGCUAGAGUACGGCAGAGGGGGGUGGAAUUCCACGUGUAGCAGUGAAAUGCGUAGAGAUGUGGAGGAACACCAAUGGCGAAGGCAGCCCCCUGGGUCGAUACUGACGCUCAUGCACGAAAGCGUGGGUAGCAAACAGGAUUAGAUACCCUGGUAGUCCACGCCCUAAACGAUGUCAACUAGGUGUUGGGAGGGUAAAACCUUUUAGUACCGGAGCUAACGCGUGAAGUUGACCGCCUGGGGAGUACGGCCGCAAGGUUAAAACUCAAAGGAAUUGACGGGGACCCGCACAAGCGGUGGAUGAUGUGGAUUAAUUCGAUGCAACGCGAAAAACCUUACCUACCCUUGACAUGUCAGGAACUUGCCAGAGAUGGCUUGGUGCUCGAAAGAGAACCUGAACACAGGUGCUGCAUGGCUGUCGUCAGCUCGUGUCGUGAGAUGUUGGGUUAAGUCCCGCAACGAGCGCAACCCUUGUCGUUAAUUGCCAUCAUUUAGUUGGGCACUUUAACGAGACUGCCGGUGACAAACCGGAGGAAGGUGGGGAUGACGUCAAGUCCUCAUGGCCCUUAUGGGUAGGGCUUCACACGUCAUACAAUGGUCGGUACAAAGGGUCGCCAACCCGCGAGGGGGAGCCAAUCCCAGAAAGCCGAUCGUAGUCCGGAUUGCAGGCUGCAACUCGCCUGCAUGAAGUCGGAAUCGCUAGUAAUCGUGGAUCAGCAUGUCACGGUGAAUACGUU